UCAUUGUGAGAGCCCCAAGGACCUUCCAAGACCUUCAGAGCCAAUCACUGAUGCCUUGUCCCUUCUGGCCCAAGAUCCAGGAUAAUGAAGUCGACACCAAUCAAGAGCCCAGAUACACUGUCUGUGGAUUUUGCUAGUCAGUCAUGACAGCAGUACUUCAAGCGCAGCAUUCCGCUCCGCCAGGUCUCGGAUCUGCUCCUUCAGUACCUCAACCUCUUCUCGCACGGCAAACAUGAGGUGCGACUUCACCAAGUCCUGGGCCCCAGGGACAAACCAACCGUCAGGCCCUCCCAGGCCACCUCCAGGUGCCAUCUCCUACCCAGACUUCCGGAACCACUGGAGAAGACACGGAGAGGUACAAGUUGAGGAGGAGGAGCCCCAAGUCAGCUCUGCUACUGCCUUCUAGGUGCUCCUUGCUCUGAAAGCCCAGCCUACACCCCACCCCGUGCCCAAGGUACCUGUGACAGUAGAGGAUCAGGGGGAGGAGGCUUUUGUCCAUCCCCCGGCGGGGUGAAGGUCGCUGCCCAGGUCCCCCCAGGCCCUGGUGGGAAGGAGGUCCCAAUGCCCCUCGGAUGGGGGAUGACCCCCGUGGGGAGUUCGGGGAAGACACGCAGCCCCUUUUCCGGGGUGCCCCUGGCGCCAUCCCCACCACCCGCGUCUCAUACGAUGAUACCAAGGACUUCACAGAGACCCCUGGCUGGGACAUUCCUGAGGGGGAUCUGUACUAAGUCCAAGGUGACCCUUGCACGAGGCCCGGCUGUCAGAAAGGGAGCUGGGAAUUUUCCAUUUCCUGGCCAAGCUCUGAGUGCAGGAGGUGCUGACAGAGACACCAAAGAUGGACAGACGGACCAGAAUAGACGUGUCAGCCCUGCCUGGCGGACACUCAGGCCGAGAUGCCAAGUUAAAUCUUCUACCCUUGCCAGAAACAAAGGAAUAAUACAACCACCAGCAUUUGUUGGCUGA